CCCUUAGAUGUCCGGGGCCGCACGCGCGCUACACUGAAGGAAUCAGCGUGGCUUUCUCCCUGACCCGAAAGGGUUGGGAAACCCGUUGAAUCUCCUUCGUGAUAGGGAUUGGGGCUUGAAAUUGUUCCCCAUGAAUGAGGAAUUCCCAGUAAGCGCGAGUCAUAAGCUCGCGUUGAUUACGUCCCUGCCCUUUGUACACACCGCCCGUCGCUACUACCGAUUGAACGGUUUAGUGAGGGCCUCGGAUUGGUCUCGGCCCGCUCUUUACCGGGCGGCGCCGUUGGUCGAGAAGACGCUCGAACUUGAUCGUUUAGAGGAAGUAAAAGUCGUAACA
rnacentral:rRNA from 1 species